AUUGAACGCUGGCGGCAUGCCUUACACAUGCAAGUCGAACGGCAGCACGGGUGCUUGCACCUGGUGGCGAGUGGCGAACGGGUGAGUAAUACAUCGGAACAUGUCCUGUAGUGGGGGAUAGCCCGGCGAAAGCCGGAUUAAUACCGCAUACGAUCUACGGAUGAAAGCGGGGGACCUUAGGGCCUCGCGCUAUAGGGUUGGCCGGUGGCUGAUUAGCUAGUUGGUGGGGUAAAGGCCUACCAAGGCGACGAUCAGUAGCUGGUCUGAGAGGACGACCAGCCACACUGGGACUGAGACACGGCCCAGACUCCUACGGGAGGCAGCAGUGGGGAAUUUUGGACAAUGGGCGAAAGCCUGAUCCAGCAAUGCCGCGUGUGUGAAGAAGGCCUUCGGGUUGUAAAGCACUUUUGUCCGGAAAGAAAUCCUUGGCCCUAAUACGGUCGGGGGAUGACGGUACCGGAAGAAUAAGCACCGGCUAACUACGUG
rnacentral:rRNA from 1 species